UUCCACCCGCCUUAGCCAGUGCCAGCCGCACCGCAGUCGGAGGAAACAGACGCAGGGCCUGAGGCUCACGGACUUGAGGGAUACCUAAAGGGGAAGUUUGUUUAUAAUUCGUACCCACUCCUUGGAGAAAGGAUUCAAGGCAGCCGGUGAUGAAAACACCCAUGCUUGCAAGUGAAGGUUCUGCCUGUCACUUCUCGCAGAGGCUGCAGAAAAGGCCCAGGAGGCUGUUGAUGACAUGAACGACCACCAGGAGAAGCUGGAGCAGGCUGAUGCACAGAAGGGCGGAGAAGAGGGACACGUGCCAGACAACAGCUGCAGAGGGCUCCAGGCAGACGGAGUUCCAGAGCGAACGGUCAUAUAGAUAAUUCCUAUCCCAAAAAAUAAAGACACCAGGGGUCGGGCGAUAAGUAAGGAAAGCCAAACAGGCAACCCCAGUAGAAAACUGGGGUCUCCCCUGACUGGGUCACGGGACUGGGCUCGUGAGGGUGACCAUUACUGCUCCAUUUGCAAUUUUCUGAGUAUCAGAGGAGCAAGAUGCUAGGAUGUGUGACCCAAAGGAGCUUGUAGUUCAUCAGUGUGUCUUUUUGUCUCUCUCUCUCUGUCUGAAAAGACCAAGCCCAGGCCUCUACCCAUUUACCUACUGUGCAGGUCUUUGAAUGGGUAACCAUAUUUCCAAGCUUGUGUCUGAUUGAAGGACGAAACAUCAAACAUGCAAAAAGGACCAUCUUUCAGAGCAGCUCCAGAAGUGACAAAGCAAAUCAGGGCUCCAAGUAAAGCCAGGCCACUUGACAACAGAGCAGUAAGCACCUGCGGAGGGAGGGUGAGACGGUGAGCUAAGAUGGGGUCGCGGCUGGGGAGCCUGUGGGGCGGUCUGCACAGGUCUGACUUCUCUGGUCUCAGGUGUUCUUCUGUCUUGUCACGGGAGAAUUCUGUCCAUGGCACCCCCUUUGAAGCAUAACCCAAGGUGGGGAGGCCAGUGAGGGGGUUCCAGGAGAGAAAGGAACAAGAAGCAGAAUCGCAGGCCCCAGAUCUCCCGGACUCUGUGAGUUCGCCUGAGCUGCUCAGCAGCUUGGCAUCACAAACCUUUUGCAGAUUACAGCCAUUCAGCCUCUGAGCUAAAGAGGCAGGUUAUCACAGGCCCACCUCUGACUCUUCUAAGGAAAAGCUGCAUUUUCAAAAGUUCCAGGUUCCCAACUCUGAUUCUUCUCUAUUUCAAAUCAAGGAUAAA